CAGUCGCCGCGGUAAUACGUAGGUGGCAAGCGCUGUCCGGAAUUAUUGGGCGUAAAGGGCUCGCAGGCGGUUUCUUAAGUCUGAUGUGAAAGCCCCCGGCUCAACCGGGGAGGGUCAUUGGAAACUGGGAAACUUGAGUGCAGAAGAGGAGAGUGGAAUUCCACGUGUAGCGGUGAAAUGCGUAGAGAUGUGGAGGAACACCAGUGGCGAAGGCGACUCUCUGGUCUGUAACUGACGCUGAGGAGCGAAAGCGUGGGGAGCGAACAGGAUUAGAUACCCCAGUAGUCCCUGUCUCUUAUAC
rnacentral:rRNA from 1 species